rnacentral:rRNA from 1 species
CCUACGGGAGGCAGCAGUAGGGAAUUUUCGUCAAUGGGCGCAAGCCUGAACGAGCAAUGCCGCGUGAACGAGGAAGGUCUUCGGAUCGUAAAGUUCUGUUGAAGGGGAAAAAGAGCGGAGAGAGGAAAUGAACUCCGAUUGAUAUUACCCUUCGAGGAAGUCACGGCUAACUACGUGCCAGCAGCCGCGGUAAUACGUAGGUGGCGAGCGUUAUCCGGAAUGAUUGGGCGUAAAGAGGGAGCAGGCGGCAGCAAAGGUCUGUGGUGAAAGGCUGAAGCUUAACUUCAGUAAGCCAUAGAAACCGGGCAGCUAGAGUGCAGGAGAGGAUCGUGGAAUGCCAUGUGUAGCGGUGAAAUGCGUAGAUAGAUGGAGGAACACCAGUGGCGAAGGCGACGAUCUGGCCUGCAACUGACGCUCAGGCCCGAAAGCGUGGGGAGCAAAUAGGAUUAGAUACCCCUGUAGUC